rnacentral:snRNA from 1 species
UAAACUGGAGAAAAACGAUAAAG